GUGCUUGCUGGCUGUGGCAGUACAUACACUAAUAUUGGAAUGAUACAGAAGAUUAGCAUAGCCCCUAGACAAAAAAUAUGAAAAAUAAAACAGUAAAGAUAUCUGGAGAUGU
rnacentral:snRNA from 1 species